GCUGCUCGGGAAGCGAGUGCAGGUCUUCAGGCACUGCAGAAUGUCUUCUGUCUGUGGUCUCUACAAAGAUUUAGCUAACACACAGAGCCUAUGAGAUCGCAGAAAAGCAGCCUUCGGUCUUGAAUGAGUCUGGGGCCUGUCCCUGAUGGCCUGGCACCUGUUGAGUGGACGUGUCUGGAAGUGGGAAUGGGUGAUAACCCUGCCUUCUGGAUACAUGGAGAGAGGUCCCUGGAGGUUGAGGAGAGCAUUUCCUCGAUGCUCAGAUUAUGGAUCAACCUGGGUCGUUUCACCCCUGGUCCAACUGUGCUGAAGCCAGAUGCACCUCUGGGCCCUGCAGUUUUGUGGUUCAAUACAGCCUUCCCUUCGUUAGAGCCAGCUUACCACAGAAGAGAGUCCUGGCUGAUACAGCUCAACCACCGCACUCUUCAGUAAAGCUCUGCCCAAGAACCUCGAGGCAAAACCAACUAAUGAAACGUCCACGGCCACGCAGACUCUUCAGAAGUGGUUUUGGCAGAACACCUGAGUGCACCGUCUCCCCAGAUUGCCGGCAUUCUGAUUAAAAGGAACUUUCUGUCAGUCAACAGCUGCUUCUCG